rnacentral:rRNA from 1 species
CGGCGAGUGAAGCGGCAUAAGCUCAAAUUUGAAAUCUGGCUCUUUCAGGGUCCGAGUUGUAAUUUGUAGAAGAUGUUUCGGGUGUGGUGCCGGUCUAAGUUCCUUGGAACAGGACGUCAUAGAGGGUGAGAAUCCCGUACGUGACUGGUUACCUACGCCCAUGUGAAACUCUUUCGACGAGUCGAGUUGUUUGGGAAUGCAGCUCAAAAUGGGUGGUAUAUUUCAUCUAAAGCUAAAUAUUGGCCAGAGACCGAUAGCGCACAAGUAGAGUGAUCGAAAGAUGAAAAGCACUUUGGAAAGAGAGUUAAACAGUACGUGAAAUUGUUGAAAGGGAAGCGCUUGCAAUCAGACUUGCGCCUAGUUGAUCAUCCACGCUUCUGCUUGGUGCACUCGAUUAGGCUCAGGCCAGCAUCGGUUUGGGCGGUUGGAUAAAGACUUGGGGAACGUAGCCUCCUUCGGGUGGUGUUAUAGCCCCAGGUGCAAUGCAGCCUGCCUGGACCGAGGACCGCGCUUCGGCUAGGAUGCUGGCGUAAUGGUUGUAAGCGACCCGUCUUGAAACACGGACCAAGGAGUCGACCUAUUUAGCGAGUGUUUGGGUGUUAAACCCAUACGCGUAAUGAAAGUGAACGGAGGUGAGAACCCAUCAGGGCGCAUCAUCGACCGAUCCUGAUGUCUUCGGAUGGAUUUGAGUAAGAGCUAAGUGGGUCGGACCCGAAAGAUGGUGAUCUAUACGUGAAUAGGGUGAAGCCAGAGGAAACUCUGGUGGAGGCUCGCAGCGGUUCUGACGUGCAAAUCGAUCGUCAAAUUUGCGUAUAGGGGCGAAAGACUAAUCGAACCAUUAAACCUUGCUAGGUGGUUGAGAGAGGAUCGUUUGAGAGAUCCUUUAGUUCCCACUCGGGGCAACAUCGUCAAAUUGUUCGGGGACCACCUGUUAAUUUGCAAGCUACCGCAGCCAGCUCGAAAGGGGUGGUGCGCACCUGAGAUAGCGAUUCAGGGUAUGGUAAUAACGCUUGCAUGGGGUGUAUCCGCAGCGAAUCCCUAAGCCCUUUAAGGUAUGGGUGUCGUUCACAGACUAGACGGCGAUGGGCGUGACCUCUGGAGGUAUAGGCUUAGUAACCCUGUACCUUUGAGGCGUCACGCUUAAGAUAUAGUCGAACCCCCCAGAGAUGGGGUUGGAAUCAAUGCUAGUAGCUGGUUCCUGCCGAAGUUUCCCUCAGGAUAGCAGUGUUGUAUUCAGUUUUAUGAGGUAAAGCGAAUGAUUAGAGGCCUUGGGGUUGAAACAACCUUAACCUAUUCUCAAACUUUAAAUAUGUAAGAAGUCCUUGUUGCUUAAUUGAACGUGGACAUUCGAAUGUACCAACACUAGUGGGCCAUUUUUGGUAAGCAGAACUGGCGAUGCGGGAUGAACCGAACGCGAGGUUAAGGUGCCGGAAUAUACGCUCAUCAGACACCACAAAAGGCGUCAAUUCAUCUGGACAGCAGGACGGUGGCCAUGGAAGUCGGAAUCCGCUAAGGAAUGUGUAACAACUCACCUGCCGAAUGAAUUGGCCCUGAAAAUGGAUGGCGCUUAAGCGUAUUACCCAUACCUCGCCGCCAGGGUAGAAACGAUGCCCUGGCGAGUAGGCAGGCGUGGAGGUCAGUGACGAAGCCU